rnacentral:rRNA from 1 species
GAUCAUGGCUCAGAACGAACGCUGGCGGCAGGCUUAACACAUGCAAGUUGAGCGGGAUUGAUUGAUAGCUUGCUAUUAAUCAUGAGAGCAGCGCACUGGUGAGUAACACGUGGGAACAUACCUUUUUGGUGGGGGACAACAGUUGGAAACGACUGCUAAUACCGCAUAAGCCCUGAGGGGGAAAGGAGAGAUUUGCCGAAAGAUUGGCCCGCGGAAGAUUAGGUAGUAGGUGGGGCAACGGCCUACCUAGCCGACGAUCUAUAGCUGGUCUGAGAGGACGAUCAGCCACAUUGGAACUGAGACACGGUCCAGACUCCUACGGGAGGCAGCAGUGAGGAAUAUUGGGCAAUGGAGGAAACUCUGAACCCCCAGCCAUGCCGCGUGAGUGAAGAAGGUUUUCGGAUUGUAAAGCUCUUUCGGACGGGAAGAUAAUGACGGUACCGUCUAAAGAAGCACCGGCUAACUUCGUGCCAGCAGCAGC